CCUACGGGAGGCAGCAGUGAGGAAUAUUGGUCAAUGGGCGCGAGCCUGAACCAGCCAAGUCGCGUGAGGGAAGACGGUCCUAUGGAUUGUAAACCUCUUUUGUCGGGGAGCAAAAGACGCCACGCGUGGCGUUCCGAGAGUACCCGAAGAAAAAGCAUCGGCUAACUCCGUGCCAGCAGCCGCGGUAAUACGGAGGAUGCGAGCGUUAUCCGGAUUUAUUGGGUUUAAAGGGUGCGCAGGCGGAAGAUUAAGUCAGCGGUAAAAGUGCGGGGCUCAACCUCUUCGAGCCGUUGAAACUGGUUUUCUUGAGUGAGUGAGAAGUAUGCGGAAUGCGUGGUGUAGCGGUGAAAUGCAUAGAUAUCACGCAGAACUCCGAUUGCGAAGGCAGCAUACCGGCGCUCAACUGACGCUCAUGCACGAAAGUGUGGGUAUCGAACAGGAUUAGAUACCCGAGUAGUC
rnacentral:rRNA from 1 species